UCCGGUUUGUCACCGGCAGUCUCGCAUGAGUUUUCGGUAUAUGUCAAGCCUUGGUAAGGUUCUUCGCGUUGCGUCGAAUUAAGCCACAUGCUCCGCCGCUUGUGCGGGCCCCCGUCAAUUCCUUUGAGUUUUAGCCUUGCGGCCGUACUCCCCAGGCGGGGCGCUUAAUGCGUUAGCUGCGGCACGGAGAACGUGGAAGGUUCCCCACACCUAGCGCCCAACGUUUACGGCGUGGACUAC
rnacentral:misc_RNA from 1 species